UAAGCACUACGACUGAGCGGUUGAGUUGUCUUCAAAAUAAAUAUUCUAGUUUUGACGCGGCACGCGGCACAAAUAAACCCAUUAGAUUUUUUAAAAAAUGACCUGGCGACGCUGCACACUACAACAAACAUCCGCCAGUCCAAACGUUUGUUUGUAAGGCAAAGGUUGAUCCAAGUAUGAUGACAGUUCUACAAGGUAUGCCACAUUUUUGUCUAUCCACGCACACAAACAAAUCUCGUUAUGAAAAAUUUCGUUUUUUGUAUGGAAUUCGGAACAUUUUCGGAAAUUUCUCGUUUUAUGUUGUUUUAUAUUUGAUUUUUUUAAUUGGAGAGUGAAUCUCCAGUUGUAACACACUAGAAAUUGAUAUUAAUUUAGAUUUAGUGUGAAAAAUUGCGACAAUAUGUCGAAAUAAAAUAUAUAAAUAAGCUAUAUUUCUAAUAGUUGGAGCAUAAUCUUAGUCAUUGUCAUAGCUCAUGACUUUUGUUACUGUAUGAAACACAAGCGACUCAAUUUAGAAGCGCUAUUAGCCUACAAUAAAAAAACGAAAAGUGCAAAAAGGUUACCGGCAAAUUGAUGAAAAAUAGCAUAUUUUACCUAAACCGCAGCAAGUUUAUGUAUUCCCCACAAAUAAAACAUGUUUCAACAUCAUUUCUAUAACUUUUCAGGAAAGCAUGUUUUAUAAGUUUAGUUUAAAAUGCAAAAUCAUUUCAAAUUUCAUACAAAAUUGGAAAAAGUUCAUAACGAUCACUAAUACUAAUGCAUCGACGUGAAUAGCAUACCUUGUAGAACUGUCAUCAUACUUGGAGGGUUGAUCUGCAGCACUUGAUACAAGUGAGUCCAGAUGCACACUGCCAAACAAAACACAAAAAAAAAAACAAAUCUAUUCGAUUGAAGUGUAAACAGAGGAAUAGCUAUUUCAUAACACUUCAUGCCAGUGGAUUCAGAGAGUUGUCAGAGUUGGCUCAGUUCAAACGUUCGAUGGACCCGUGAGAAGGCUCUGCAGCGCCUAAUACCAGCGAGUCCGCAUGCAUACUGCUACAGCUGUUCAAGUCCAAUCAUUCGAAUAUGGACGUUACAGCAAAACAGCAAUGGGGUUCGAAAGAACCAUUCAAUGAUGCAGUAGAUCAACAGGAUUUACGCCGUGAAUGGGAGGAAUGGAGAAGAUCCGCCCCCAGAGGUAGCGGAGUACGAUAAUGCUAUAAAACGGUUAAAUAAAUUCUUCAUUGGUAAAAGAAAUGAUCGAGUUGAGCUCGAAGAAUUUCGUUCACUGGAACAACGCA